CCAGACUCCUACGGGAGGCAGCAGUGAGGAAUAUUGGUCAAUGGGCGAGAGCCUGAACCAGCCAAGUCGCGUGAAGGACGACGGUUCUAUGGAUUGUAAACUUCUUUUGUAGAGGAAUAAUGGCAGCUACGCGUAGCUGAGAUGCAUGUACUCUACGAAUAAGUAUCGGCUAACUCCGUGCCAGCAGCCGCGGUAAUACGGAGGAUUCGAGCGUUAUCCGGAUUUACUGGGUUUAAAGGGUGCGCAGGCGGGCUCUUAAGUCAGCGGUGAAAUGUCUGGGCUUACCCUAGGAAUUGCCGUUGAUACUGGGAGUCUUGGAUAAGCAUAAGGACGGCGGAAUGCGUAGUGUAGCGGUGAAAUGCUUAGAUAUUACGUAGAAGACCAAUUGCGAAGGCAGCUGUCUGGGUCUUUAUCGACGCUCAAGCACGAAAGCGUGGGGAGCAAACAGGAUUAGAUACCCUGGUAGUCCACGCAGUAAACGAUGAUUACUAGGAGUUUGCGAUAUAGUGUAAGCUCUACAGCGAAAGCGUUAAGUAAUCCACCUGGGGAGUACGCCGGCAACGGUGAAACUCAUAGGAAUUGACGGGGGCCCGCACAAG
rnacentral:rRNA from 1 species